rnacentral:rRNA from 1 species
CCUACGGGAGGCAGCAGUGAGGAAUAUUGGUCAAUGGACGAGAGUCUGAACCAGCCAAGUAGCGUGAAGGAUGACUGCCCUAUGGGUUGUAAACUUCUUUUAUAUGGGAAUAAAAUGUUCCACGUGUGGGAUUUUGUAUGUACCAUAUGAAUAAGGAUCGGCUAACUCCGUGCCAGCAGCCGCGGUAAUACGGAGGAUCCGAGCGUUAUCCGGAUUUAUUGGGUUUAAAGGGAGCGUAGGUGGAUUGUAAAGUCAGUUGUGAAAGUUUGCGGCUCAACCGUAAAAUUGCAGUUGAAACUGGCAGUCUUGAGUACAGUAGAGGUGGGCGGAAUGCGUGGUGUAGCGGUGAAAUGCUUAGAUAUCACGAAGAACUCCGAUUGCGAAGGCAGUUCACUGGACUGCAACUGACACUGAGGCUCGAAAGUGUGGGUAUCAAACAGGAUUAGAUACCCCUGUAGUC